rnacentral:rRNA from 1 species
UACGUAGGGUGCGAGCGUUAAUCGGAUUUACUGGGCGUAAAGGGGGCGUAGGCGGCCGUGAAAGUCCGGUGUGAAAACUCACGGCUCAACCGUGGGACUGCGCUGGAAACUACACGGCUUGAGGACGGUAGAGGGAGACGGAACUGCUGGUGUGGGGGUGAAAUCCGUAGAUAUCAGCAGGAACGCCGGUGGGGAAGCCGGUCUCCUGGGCCGUUCCUGACGCUGAGGCCCGAAAGCUAGGGGAGCAAACCGG